GUCCCGUUCGUCUAGAGGCCUAGGACGUCGCCCUCUCACGGCGAUAACAGGGGUUCGAAUCCCCUACGGGACGCCA
rnacentral:tRNA from 5 species